GAUAAACGCUGGCGGCGCACACAAGACGUGCAAGUCGAACGGACUUAACUCGAAGUUUACUUUGAGAGCGGUUAGUGGCGGACUGGUGAGUAACACGUAAGCAACCUGCCUAUCAGAGGGGAAUAACAGUGAGAAAUCAUUGCUAAUACCGCAUAUGCUCACAGUAUCACAUGAUACAGUGAGGAAAGGAGUAAUCCACUGAUAGAUGGGCUUGCGUCUGAUUAGAUAGUUGGUAAGGUAACGGCUUACCAAGUCGACGAUCAGUAGCCGGACUGAGAGGUUGAACGGCCACAUUGGGACUGAGAUACGGCCCAG
rnacentral:rRNA from 1 species